rnacentral:lncRNA from 10 species
UGUAUUUAAAAAUAUUUUAUUUUUUUUGAAUAGGUGAUACAUAUGGUACAAAAUUCAAAAAAAUACAAAAGGAGAUACAGUGAAAAGUCUCCCAAUCCUGUACCUAUCCACCCUGUCACCCUCCCCACAAACCACCAUUGGUUCUAAGAAUUUAUCCUGCAGAUGUAAUCCCAUAAAUUAAUGUGAAAUAUGCACAAGAAUAUUCAUUACAGCAUUAUUUAUAGCAAAAGACAGGAAACAAUGGAAACGUCUGUCAGUGAGGGACUGAUUAAAUAAAUUAUGGUUUAUCCAUUCAAUGGAAUAGUAUACAGCUGUAAAAUGAAAUGAGGCAGCUCUAAUUGCAAGUAUAAAAAAAAAGCAAAGUGCAGAACAGCAUGCAUAGUAUGCUAUUUGUAUUUUAAACAAAGGAAAUAUGUAUAUAUGCAUACAAUAUCUCAAGGUUGGCAGGAAGGGGUGUCUGCAGUGUGAGGCCAUGGGGCCUUGCAUGCUCGCACAGCUUGGGAGGGUGGAUGAGGGCCAUCCUUUGGUAAGCAUCCCAUAGCAAGGCCAGGAAAGGUGGUGGACAGGGCCUCAUGCGGUGGCUGAAGCAUUAAAGCGAUUGGUGGUGCUUGAGCCAAGCAAGGGCAUGGAGGCAAUGACCGAAGCUUACAGCCAGAGGCUAAGCUGGGAGAGAUGAAAGCAGGCAAGGCUGAUUGGAAACCUCUGGCCUGAUGUCACGGUG